AAAAAGCGGAGGAAAAGAAACCAACAGGGAUUGCCUCAGUAACGGCGAGUGAAGCGGCAAAAGCUCAAAUUUGAAAUCCCCCCGGGGAGUUGUAAUUUGAAGAUUGCGUCUUGGAGGCGACCGUGUCUAUGUUCCUUGGAACAGGACGUCACAGAGGGUGAGAAUCCCGUGCGGCACGGCCCCCGGCUCCUUAUAAGGCGCUCUCGACGAGUCGAGUUGUUUGGGAAUGCAGCUCAAAGUGGGUGGUAAAUUCCAUCUAAAGCUAAAUACAGGCGAGAGACCGAUAGCGAACAAGUACAGUGAUGGAAAGAUGAAAAGCACUUUGAAAAGAGAGUGAAACAGCACGUGAAAUUGUUGAAAGGGAAGGGCAUGCCGUCAGAUUGUCAGUGUGGGUAAGAAGCGGGGUACAAAGACUGUGGAACGUGGCCCUCGGGUGUUAUAGCCGCAGUUCAUGCCCCGUCUCUUUCCGAGGCCUGCUUUGAGGACACCGACGUAAUGACGGUACGCCGCCCGUCUUGAAA
rnacentral:rRNA from 1 species